rnacentral:rRNA from 1 species
UACGGGAGGCAGCAGUGGGGAAUAUUGCACAAUGGGCGCAAGCCUGAUGCAGCCAUGCCGCGUGUAUGAAAAAGGCCUUCGGGUUGUAAAGUACUUUCAGUCGUGAGGAAGGUGUUAAGGUUAAUAACCUUAGCAAUUGACGUUAGCGACAGAAGAAGCACCGGCUAACUCCGUGCCAGCAGCCGCGGUAAUACGGAGGGUGCGAGCGUUAAUCGGAAUUACUGGGCGUAAAGGGCACGCAGGCGGUUAAUUAAGUUGGAUGUGAAAUCCCCGGGCUUAACCUGGGAAUGGCAUUCAAGCUGGUUAGCUAGAGUCUUGUAGAGGGGGUAGAAUUCCAUGUGUAGCGGUGAAAUGCGUAGAGAUGUGGAGGAAUACCGGUGGCGAAGGCGGCCCCUGGACAAAGGACUGACGCUCAUGUGCGAAAGCGUGGGGAGCAAACAGGGAUUAGAUACC